rnacentral:piRNA from 1 species
UAAACAGAACCGAACCCUAUGCCUACACU